rnacentral:rRNA from 1 species
AACGAACGCUGGCGGCAGGCUUAACACAUGCAAGUCGAACGGUUGCAGCAAUGCAGCAGUGGCAGACGGGUGAGUAACACGUGGGAACCUUCCUAGGGGUACGGAACAACUCAGGGAAACUUGAGCUAAUACCGUAUACGUCCGUGAGGAGAAAGAUUUAUCGCCCUUAGACGGGCCCGCGUCGGAUUAGCUAGUUGGUGGGGUAACGGCCUACCAAGGCGACGAUCCGUAGCUGAUCUUAGAGGAUGAUCAGCCACACGGGGACUGAGACACGGCCCGGCCCCCUAAGGGAGGCAGCAGGGGGGAAUUUGGGACAAUGGGCGCAAGCCGGAUCCAGCCAUGGCGCGUGAGUGAAGAAGGUCUUCGGAUUGUAAAGCUCUUUUGCCAGGGACGAUAAUGCCGGUACCUGGAGAAUAAGCCCCGGCAAACUUCGUGCCAGCCGCCGCCGUAA